UUUUUCUGACAAGUUCUGAAGCAUUUGAGAGGACUGAUAUGCUACCAUUCUCCUCAAACUUGGAGAACACCAGGUUGUGACGUGUUGAUAUUCUAGAAGUAUCUAUCUUACGGGUUCUUUUAUAACACCUGUCGUAGUAAUUUCUAAGUGCUUCCCAAGUAAAUUAGACACUCAAUGAAGUCUCCAAGAGCACCUGAGGUCAAAAGCUUUCCACACAAAGUAUUAACACAAAAGACAGAUGAAUGAGAUUCAGAUAAAAAUUGGGAAGCUGACUCAGUUACCAGGAUGCAGGAGCACAUCUGAGCCCAGAGCCCUGGCUGGGAGGUCAUGAAUAGCCUUAAUUAAAGAGCUACACCAGCAGGCUAGGAAGAUGGUACACUUUGGCCUGGCAGAGUGAUGAGCUGGGGACCCACUCCUUCCUAGCUCAAUGAAGUCCCUGAGUGAUGACUCAGAGCUCUCGAGCUCUCUCUCCCAGUACUCACAACACUGGGGCCUGCAACAGAGCACAGGGUUGGGAAAGCUCCUUCCACUUGGCCCACCUGAAAAGCAGCAGUGACAGCAGCAACCAGAGCUGUGACCGAAGACAAACAUAUGGCAGAGUACUCGUCUGAGAGAGAAGGACAACAUUAAACAUGGUGUUAUUUCUUACUAUUUCUGUCAGAAGAGCAGAGCAAAUGUACCCAUUGAUGGGUGAGCUGGAAUCUGUUCUGGUUUUCACACCACCAACAGAAUUGUUCAACUUAGUUGUGACUGCACAGUCUUUAUUUCUGUUGAGAAUACUUGAUCCAGAAACAAAACACUUUCAGAUCCCAGAUGAGUUUACAGGAUUGACAGUUAGAACAAAGUUUUCAUUGUCAAAGCAGAUUUGGGAGUCAUUGAGAAACAGUAAACAUGGAACUUCAUGAUACACUUUUCACAGAGUAUUUUUUCCAGAGUAGAACUUCAUUAAACAGUUCUAGUCCUCGCUUCCACAGUCUGAAAGUAUAAAGAUACAAGGGACUGACGAAAACUGGACCAUCAUGUGAAGCUAAGACUAACGGGUAACAGAAAAGAGCUUCGUGUAGCUCUAAAGCUUGUAAUUUUCAUUAACAGAAGUUGGUCCAGUAAGAUAUUAUUACCUCAACUUCUUUAUCUCUCUGGGCUCAGGAACCCUGUGAAGUGGGAGGAUGCCAGA